UUAAUUAAUUAUAACAUGUAAAUUAUAAAAUUGUUGUAUUUGAAAUAGUUAUAUAAAUAUUUAAGUAUAUGAUUAACAUUAAAAAUAUAUACCAUUUAUGUUCUAAAAUAAUAAUUUAUGUAUAGAAAAGUGAAAACAAACACCCGUACAGUUGCACGGGUCAAAAUCUAGUAUUCUAUUCAAACACGAUUAUGAUUGAUAUACUGGAACGGUUCUUAGAGUGUUAUAUCUGAAAACUAAUAUCAAAUUCAAUCCGCACCAAAAACCGAACAAUGUUUUUUGAAAAAUGUUUUAAAAAAUAAUUUUAAUAUAUUCUGUUAUAUAUAUAUAUAUAUAUAUAUAUAUAUAUAUAUAUAAAUGGGUUAAUAUGAUCUUCAGUAACUUUAAGUAAAAUCACAUUUAAUAAAUAUUUUUAAUCGAAUAACCUAUUUAAAUUUCGUUAAAUAAAUAUCAUAGAAUAUAUUUUUAUAAAUAAUAUUUAUAUAUAUAUGUAAAUGUGUAAAUAUGAUUUUCACUAACCUUAAUUAUAAUCACAUUUAAUAUAUAUUUUCUAAUCGAAUAACCUAUUUAAAACCCUUUAACUAAAACUCGUUGAAUAUAUUUUUAUAAAUAAUACUUCUAUAAUAAUAUCAAUUUAAUUAAAUAGUUUUAAUAAUCUUAAAUUUACUUCCAAAAAUAUACUUUUUAGAUUUUGGUUGGACUAAAUUUUCUAUAUCUUAAAUGAUUUUGUUAAAUACUUCAAUUUUGUAUUUAGAAUAUGCUCAUAUAUAUUUAGUUUCAGAUUGAAGCAUGCUAUUGAUUUUGACAAAAUACUACAUUAUUCGAAGGAUUAAAGAAUAAAUAGCUAAAAACAUAUACUUUAAUCCAUUAGACAUAUUUUGUUUAUAUUUUGUUUUGCACCUAUUAGACAUAUUGUGACUAAAUAUUAAAAACAUAUACUUCAUAUCUAUUCUAUCUAAUAAAUAUGAUAUCUCUUAUAAUUAGGAUAUACAAUUGAUCUAAUCCAUAUUAAAUUAGAAUUUUAUAUUUAAUCUUACCUAUUAGCAAUAUAUGAUAUAUUUUUAACUUAUUUAAAUAUUCCUUAUCGGUACCUUUUUUUCCUUAGCGGUACAUAUAACAAACAAUAUGUACAGACUUUACAAAACAUUUACGAUAAUUCAAAUUUUGGAACAUUUUAUGAACUGGAAAUUAAAAAGUAAAAUAAAAUUAAAGAAAAACUUCCAGAAUACACCAUUUAUAAUCCAUGACCAGAUUAACUAUUUGAUAAAAGAAGAUAUAUACUCCCUCUGUUUUUUAAUAUUACAUAUUCUAGAUUUUUAACACAUUUUAAUAAAACACAUUAAAUUUGCAUAUUUUUUUGUGUUUAUCUUUGUUUCAUAAUUUUAAACCGAUAACAAUUCAGUAAGUGCAAUUAAGUUUUUUGAAAUUUGCAAUUAGUUAAUAAAACAUAUCUUGAAAAUAUAAAAAAUAGAUCUUUUUAAAACAAAUUUUUUUCCUAGAAUAUGUAAUAUUAAGGAACAGAGGGAGUAUUAUUUAGUGGGUCAGAUAAUUCAGUAAAGUGGGUCCUGAUUAUUUCUAAUAUAAUUGAUCAACUCUUCUACGUAACUGCUUCCUACGUCCAUUUUAGUUAAUUUUAGAUUCAGUUACUCAAUUAUCUACAUAAUUAUGAAUAUAUCAACUGAUGCAGUUAUAUUUGAUGCAGUUAUAUAAAAAUCAUUUUUUUUUAAAUUGGACUCAACUAAUAUCAAUGGGGCAUGUUCCUGUUUUAAUAGUGAGGACGGGUAUAUUUUUUGUUUUAACUAUAUUUUUUGUUUUAAUUUUUUUCAGAAAUUUAAUUUUCAUAUUUGUGUUUUUCUAUGUAAUCAUAUUUACGUUUUUCUUUGUAGUCAUAUAUAUGUAAAUCUUAAUCAAAAUCUAUUUUAUAAAAUAAUAGUAAUGUAAAGAUUGAUUUGGCAUACACUCAAUCUUUGUAAUUAUAUGUCCGUAUAUCCGUUUUUUUAAAAUCAUAUUUGUUUGUUCUAGAUCUUUACCCGCGGGUAUAAUGUCCACUUAAUAAUAUAAAUGACCAAAAAUAUUUAUGUAAAAUUAUUUUUAUAAAUGCUAAAGAAAAUAUAGCAAGUGUGUAAUGAAAAUAAAAUAACUGUGUGUAAGGAAAAGAAUGAUUUUGGUUUCCUAUUACAAACGACUAAAAUCAGGAAUUGAUCAAGAAAUUUCAUUUAUGGUAAGUAUUAAGAAUCAAACUUAUUUGAUUAUGCUUGGAAUUGGUUAAACCGAGUUUUGUAAUUAAUAAAUUUGGGAUCAAUAAUAUUAAAUUUCAGUGGCCUGGUGGCAAUUGUUGGUUCAGUUGCUUGGAAUUAGUUUCCUAAUUUUUUUUUGUCGGCAGUUUCCUAAUUCUAUACGACAAAAGCUUGUUGUGCAUUUUUAUUUUUUUUUUUUAAUAAGUGGCAUAAUUGUAAUUUUCAUCAUCUUUUCCAGAUUUUUUUUUAGGGUUUUGACACUGUAAAUCUAUUUUCAUGCGGCCAUCAACUAUUUCCUUGUAAAUUAUCAAAUUGUUGUGUGAUUACGUAUCAGUAGUCUCAAAUACAUAGAUCUGUCGUAAAAAAUCAGUUUUAAACAUUCAAAACUCAAAAAAGAAAAAAAUCGCGACCUUCGAUUUGCUCGCCGCUUAUGACGAAAUCACCACGCCCAAGCAUAGCUCUAUAUCUCGAACAUUUUCGAACAUGGCCCUUUGUCUUAAUUUUUGUAGUCUUCGACCAGUAAGUGGAGCGAAGGAAAUCAGCUAGAAAGUGAAUUCAGAAACCACAAAUGGAUAGAUAAUAUAAUUUGUGUACUCUGAAUUUGUGUCUGAGUUCUGUAUUUGUUUGUUACUGAGUAAUUAAUCGAUGAUCAUAAAAAGCGCUUUUAAAGAGAACCUGAUAACUGCUUCUGCUAGAGGUAGAAGAAGUUAUAAAUUACAACAUAGUUAGUGUUUUAAUAUAAUUAGAUGCAGUUAUAUAAAAAUCAGUUUUUUUUAAAUUGGACUCAACUAAUAUCAAUGGGGCAUGUUCCUGUUUUAAUAGUAUUGAUUUAUAAUCUAUGACCAGAUUAACUAUUUGAUAAAAGAAGAUAUAUAUUAUUUAGUGGGUCAGAUAAUUCAGUAAAGUGGGUCUUGAUUAUUUCUAAUAUAAUUGAUCAACUCUUCUACGUAACUGCUUCCUACGUCCCUUUUAGUUAAUUUUAGAUCUAGUUACUCAAUUAUCUACAUAAUUAUGAAUAUAUCAACUGAUGCAGUUAUAUUUGAUGCAGUUAUAUAAAAAUUAUUUUUUUAAAAUUGGACUCAACUAAUAUCAAUGGGGCAUAUUCCUGUUUUAAUAGUAUUGAUAACAAACGUUCCUUAUGAACACGUGUCUCUUCUUCUCUUGAAAUAAAAUUGGACAGUACUUCUCCCACCGCAAUCACUCCAACCACCACCGCUUCCCUCCCUUUCCCAGUUCCCACGAUUAGUCGCCACUGCUAAUGAGAGCUUUACUAAUCAAUAGCUAGGAGCGAGAAACUGCUUUCCUUCUGGAGAUAUCGGCGGCAAUAAUGAUAACGGAAACAGCAUUGGCAGAGACGAUGGUUGGUGGUUUAACGGUGGUCUGCAACAGCCUGCCUCAGUGUCUUUGAAGACCAAGUGAGGCCUACUUCACAGAAAAAAAAUAGAAAGGGCGGGAGUGGACGGUUAUUGAAUGGUUUUUCAACGUUAAAAAAGGUUGGUAGAUUAGUUUCAA